rnacentral:snRNA from 1 species
AAAACUUUUGAAAUAAAGCGAGCUUAUCUGUUCUUAUCAGCUUAAUAUCUGAUACAAUCCCCAUAGGGGAUUCAGUAUAUUAACCUCAUUUUUGAACAAAGGUGGGUGUACGGAGCUCGCUCCGUCCCCGCUAAGGGUCGACCCGGUUCUUGCAGUACCUCGGGUUCGGCCUAUAAUAG